AUGAUAAGUAGGUUUUGGUGGGCUCAACAACAGAAUGAAGCUAAGGUACACUGGCUAGGAUGGGAGAAGUUAACCCGAGCUAAACAAGACAGAGGGCUAGGGUACAAGGACUUACAUCUCUUUAAUCUGUCCAUGCUCGCCAAGCAAGGAUGGCGCCUGCUAACAGAUCCUGUCACACUAUGCGCGAGGGUGCUAAAGGCUAGAUAUUUCUCGGAGGUCGAUGUGUUGCAUGCUGAACCAAAGUGGGGAAUAUCUUACACAUGGUGUAGCAUUCUUCGAGGGAUCACAAUACUGAAAGAAAGCCUCAUCUGGAGAAUUGGUAAUGGGGAGGAGACGAAUAUUUGGAUAGAUCCAUGGCUGCCAAGAAAUGGGUGUACUAGACCCAUCACACCAAAAGGCCAAACCAUUCUUCAGAAAGUCUCUGAACUGAUCAAUCCGUUUACGGGAAGCUGGAAUGAAGAACUGGUGCGGGACACUUUCUGGCCAAUUGAUGCAACUGUGGUGCUCGCAAUACCUCUGUAUGAAGGCUUUGAGGAUCAGUGGGCUUGGCACUAUGAAAGCAAAGGUCUGUUGUUUUCAGUGAAGUCAGCGUAUCAUAUGCAAUGUGAAAAUAGCGCAGAAUAA
rnacentral:rRNA from 1 species